rnacentral:rRNA from 2 species
GCGAGGACCUACUGGAGGGCAAGACUAAUGCCAGCCGCUGCGGUAAUUUUAGCUCCAGUGGCGUAUACUAAAAUUGUUGCGGUUAAAAAGCUCGUAGUCGGACAUCCGCUCUGUACGCAGGGGGCCGCUAGCGCGGUCGUCCAUGCGCAACCGGCAUGUUGCCCUUCACGGAGGUGGAUUUUAAAAGGUCUGCCGAAGUGGAAGGCGGUGAUCGCUUUGCGAAAAUUAGAGUGCUCCAAGCAGGCGUGCAAGCUCGAAUAGUAACGCACGGAACGAUGGAAGACGACCCCGGCUCUCGGUUCUUUGGCGUGGAGAGGGACCGGGGUGAUGAUCAAUAGGAGCAGACGGGGGCAUUCGUAUUCCGGCGCUAGAGGUGAAAUUCUUGGACCGCCGGAAGACGACCCACUGCGAAAGCAUUUGCCAAGAAUGCUUCCCUUGACCAAGAACUAGAGUUCGAGGCUCAAAGAAGAUUAGAUACCUUUGUAGUUCCGACCCCAAACGAUACCGGCCAGCGAUCCGGCUGCGUACGU